UCUGCAAACUUGUAGACAAAAUAUGCUACAUAAGUUGUAUCCAAAGACAAAACUUUUGUUUCCAACUGUCCGAAGAUAUGAAGCCACCAUACCUCCAUCAGUUCAGCCACUUCAGAGAACCUGUCCAUGAAUUAAGGAUGUUCACAGAGAUGAAAAUAAAGUUCCUUCUUUGACAUGGAAUCCAUGGGUGAAGCUAAAGCUGUCUUGGAAAGAAUCUCCUUAUAAUCCGGCGGCAAAAAACAUUCCCACACCGCAUCAGAAUCCGCGGCUGAUCUGAGGAAAGGAGACACCAUUGAAAAGCUGCAAGCAUCCCUUGGAGAUGUGAAGGAAAUUAUGUGGGAGAUGCAAUCUUUUGGCAACAUGAGGGAUCAGUGUUUGGAUAUGAAGGGCAAUAUUGUUGAUCAAGUUUUAGAGUUAGCAGGGAAUUUUUCCAAUAUUAGCUUUGCUUAUUUCCAAGAAAUGGACACGUCCGGCAACUUGGUAAUUUCAAUUUUUCCAUGAUUUUCUUUCUUCAAAAAAAAAAUGGAAAAAAAAUGAAAGUUUUUUAUAGGUAUGUAGAUAUAUAAAUAGUUCAAAAAAUCGAUAUCGAUGGAAAUACCGAAAGUUUAAAAUACGUAAAUUUCCCUGGAAAUAUCGGAAAAUAUCGAAUGUCGAUAAAAAAUUAUAAAAUAUGAUGGAAAUUUGUUUUAAAAAGUGAAAAUUUUUAUUGAAACUUUAAAAUUAGAUAUUUAAUCCAUUGAUUAUCAAAUUAAUUAUAAAACUUGUUAAAAUAUUGAAUGGAUGUUAUAUUCUUCUUAAUGAAUCGAAUUUUAAUAAGUAUUAAUGACCAUAGAUGAAUUAUUAUUAAUAAAAAUAUAUCAAAAAAUACAUAUACGAUAAAAUUAUUUAUUAACUAAAACAUAUAAAACAAUUAUUACAAUUACAUUGUAGUUCAUAAAUACCAUCUUAAUACCACAUAGAAUUUUUCGGUGGUUUAAAAUCAUCAGUUUCUUUCUAAUUUUGAUUUUGAGAUGUGAAAUAUAAGAAGUAGUUAUGAAAAAAUGUAUCUCCCUAAUAAUUUUGCAUAUAAUUAUUAAUAUGCCAACUAUAUAGAUCUUGCAUUAUUGGUUGACUAUGUGCAUAACUACUACUCUCUGAUGGUUGAGUUUGAGAUGGUACCCAUGAGUUGCUACUUGAUAAUACUCCAUACAUAUCCAUUGAAUAAGGAUUAUGAAAAUUACUUCCAAUCCUCAUAGAUCCAAAUUUUGAAUAAGGAUUAUGAAAAUUACUUCCAAUCCUCAUAGAUCCAAAUUUCAGUAAAAAUUGAAUCUUCUUUUUAUUGUGACAUCUCUAUUAUAGAUUUUUCUUUAUAUAUAUAGUCUUUUCCAACGACAUCAAAUCCUUACCUGCAUCUUUACUCCCAUGAUCUUUAUCUUGUGUUGCAUGUGUGUAAUAUUGUUCACCAAUAAAUGGGCUUAAUGCAACUUCUUGA